rnacentral:lncRNA from 1 species
GUAUUUUGCCUAGUUCAGUUUUAUACUAAAAAACUCCUUAUGAAAUUCUGCAUAAAAAAACCAGAAUACUCACAUUUUAGAACUUUUGAUUGUCUAUAUUUUAAAAUAGACACACAACCACACAAAUCCAAGUUUGAAGAAUAAAGAGCUUUUAAGAGUAUUUAUUUGGGUUUUGUUCCUGGAUUCAAAUCUUUAAAUUGUAUAGUUUGAAAACCAAAAAAAAAAAAAAGUUUCAAAAGAUGUUAUCUUUCAUGAAAACACCUUUUCAUAUUAUACAUAGGUCACUAACUCACCUAAGGUUGUAGUGCCAUUACCUAUUUCAAACCCAAAAUCUGACUAUAACCCACUAGAAACACAAAUCUUUUCUACCCAUUCACCUCAUAUAACCCCAUCUAUUCAUUCACCCGAAC